rnacentral:rRNA from 1 species
CCUACGGGAGGCAGCAGUGGGGAAUAUUGGGCAAUGGGCGCAAGCCUGACCCAGCAACGCCGCGUGAAGGAAGAAGGCUUUCGGGUUGUAAACUUCUUUUGUCCGGGAAGAGUAGAAGACGGUAUCUGAAGAAUAAGCCACGGCGAACUACGUGCCAGCAGCCGCGGUAAUACGUAGGUGGCAAGCGUUGUCCGGAUUUAAGGGGUGUAAAGGGCGUGUAGCCGGGUUGACAAGUCAGAUGUGAAAUCCUGCGGCUUAACCGCAGAACUGCAUUUGAAACUGUUGAUCUUGAGUACUGGAGAGGCAGGUGGAAUUCCUGGUGUAGCGGUGAAAUGCGUAGAUAUUAAGAGGAACACCAGUGGCGAAGGCGAUCUGCUGGACAGCAACUGACGGUGAGGCGCGAAAGCGUGGGGAGCAAACAGGAUUAGAUACCCUGGUAGUC